GUAGCCCUGGCUGUCCUGGAACUCAGAGAUCUGCCUGCCUCUGCCUCCUGAGUGCUGGAAUUAAAGGCAUAUGCCACUAUGCCUAGCUUAAAUAAAAGAAUGUUAAUACUUCAGUCUCUGGUAGGGUUCUUACGACUUGACCUGCUUAUUAGAGGAGAACCCUGUAUUCAAGGACAGUAGGACCUGGAACUCUGAGACCUUGUUUUUCCUUUAGUGACUCUUUCUGGCCACAAUGUAGACCAAACUGGGGCAGCUUUCAGAAAAACUCUGGAGAGAAAAUAUAUUGCUAAAAAACAUCACGUGGCAGCUGUGUUCCAAUGCCAGGAUAUUCUUAUAAGCGAAUCUGCUCCCCGACAGCGACAGUGAUGGCUCUCAGGCCUCGGACUUUGGCAGUUCUGCACAGUGCAAUCAGGUGGAUCCACUCGGGGAUUUGGUGAAAGUCAACUGAAUGGCUACUGUUUUGAACAGUGCUGACAAGAAAGUCACAAAACAGUAUCACAAAGUCAACUAAACCGGAUGCAGGUGCAACGAGACACUUCUAACAAGGCCCAGCGCUGCUCACGAUGAGUGACUUGGUUUAGAAGCAGCACCGGAGAAGACAAGUGCGUGAGCUGAGCACCUGGUGUGCUGGUGCCAUCCUAGGACCACAGCCAGGGUGAGGCUAGCCUGUGCAUGCGUUCAAGGGUAGCCUGCACUACACACUGAGACCAUGUCUCAAA